rnacentral:rRNA from 1 species
UGCGUAGGCGGCAGGGUAAGUUGGAUGUGAAAUCCUGGGGCUUAACCUCAGAAUUGCAUUCAAUACUGCCUUGCUAGAGAGCUGUAGAGGAGACUGGAAUUUACGGUGUAGCAGUGAAGUGCGUAGAUAUCGUAAGGAACGCCAGUGGCGAAAGCGAGUCUCUGGGCAGCAUCUGACGCUGAGGCACGAAGGCCAGGGGAGCAAACG